GAAUUUUUCAAGAGAGGGAGGGGUAUAUGGAGUUAAUCUCCCACUUUAUUGGUUUCUCUUCAAUUUUCUCUCCGUCGGCUUACCUCUCUCUCUUAUCUCUGCUUCGAUGUUCAUCUAUAGAAAAAAAAGGGAUUGAAGGAUCAAAUAUAUACUGAAAGCUACGAUUUUAUGUUUAUCAACAUCAUUCACUCAACGAUUUGCCAUGUCAAUUGAUCUAUUUUAUCAAAGAUCUCUUGUCACCAUGGGUAGAUCGGCCAUCUCGUUUCGACUUUCAAGACAUGCAAUCGAAAAGUCAAAAUCCACAUUGAUAGAAGACAAUCACCUCCAUGAAGACAGCUUCUCGUGCUAGAAAGAGUGAUGCAGGGUACGACUUGACCCACUUGAUUUUGGGAGGCAUAACUGAGGCUACUUUUCGGCUUCAGAAAAUACCACAACAUGCAGUGGUGGCAGUGUAGAAUUUUCCUACGGUUAAAGAUGCUGCAGACGUGGUGAUUGCUACUAUGAUGUCUGGAAUACAUAGGGACAGGGGACAGAAGGGAUAUAUAGAAAAGUUCAGGCAGGGACAUGGUGAAGGAGAGAGAGAUGAGAAUCAGUUGUAACAUCACAUAGCAAAGGGAAGGCACACUAAUCAUUUAGUAAAUGUUAAAUAACCAAGUACCAGUAAUCAAGAUACAAAAGAAGACAACAACCUUGACAUGACAACAGACUUAUUAAACGACCAAAAUCAUUAAUCUGAUGCGAUGAACGAAGAUAGUAUCACAAUUUAAUUAGAUUUUUUAACAAUGAUAUACAACGAUACAAAGGAAAGGAACUAUUGUAUUUCGAUGGUUUAGUAAUGAUUUGUAAUAGUAUGGUUUAGUAAUAAGACAAAACUUCUGUGUGUUAGUAAUUGUAUACAACGAUAUGUAGGAAAUUGCUGUCAUUUGGUUUGGUAAUGGUUUUGUAAUUUACGGUUUAAUAAUAAGGCACACGUGUGUAUCGGUUUAGUAAAGAAGCAAAAUAUUGUGUUUAAA